GCCAACGGCCAUACCACGUUGAACACACCAGUUCUCGUCCGAUCACUGAAGUUAAGCAACGUCGGGCCCGGUUAGUACUUGGAUGGGUGACCGCCUGGGAACCCCGUGUGUUGAUGGUA
rnacentral:rRNA from 1 species